UACAGAGGGUGCGAGCGUUAAUCGGAAUUACUGGGCGUAAAGGGUGCGUAGGUGGUUUGAUAAGUUAGGUGUGAAAGUCCUGGGCUUAACCUGGGGAUUGCGCUUAAGACUGUUGAGCUAGAGUACUGUAGAGGAAGGUGGAAUUUCCGGUGUAGCAGUGAAAUGCGUAGAUAUCGGAAGGAACAUCAGUGGCGAAGGCGACUUUCUGGACAGAUACUGACACUGAGGCACGAAAGCGUGGGGAG
rnacentral:rRNA from 1 species